rnacentral:rRNA from 1 species
GACGAACGCUGGCGGCGUGCUUAACACAUGCAAGUCGAACGAUGAAGCCAGCUUGCUGGUGGAUUAGUGGCGAACGGGUGAGUAACACGUGGGUGAUCUGCCCCAAACUUUGGGAUAAGCCUGGGAAACUGGGUCUAAUACCGAAUAUGACCGAUACUCGCAUGGGUGUUGGUGGAAAGCUCCGGCGGUUUGGGAUGGGCCCGCGGCCUAUCAGCUUGUUGGUGGGGUAAUGGCCUACCAAGGCGACGACGGGUAGCCGGCCUGAGAGGGCGACCGGCCACACUGGGACUGAGACACGGCCCAGACUCCUAUGGGAGGCAGCAGUGGGGAAUAUUGAACAAUGGGCGCAAGCCUGAUGCAGCGACGCCGCGUGAGGGAUGACGGCCUUCGGGUUGUAAACCUCUUUCACCAGGGACGAAGCGAAAGUGACGGUACCUGGAGAAGAAGCACCGGCCAACUACGUG